CGGGGAGGCAGCAGCAGCCGCAGCGGCGCAAUAAAGAGACGAGGCUGGAAAAGACAAACCCAGAUGCUGCGUGGAGGAAAAAAAAGAGGAAACCAGAUGAAGGGUGAUGAAUGAAUUUUUGAGAGAAAAAUCAGAGAGAAGCAAAGCGAUGUGUUGACAGCGUGGAGAAAUUGAAUUAGCAGCUGCAGCGCCGGGAACAUUGGAUCACAUUAGGAGCGCAGCAGAGGAGCAGAGGCUACCUGCAGGGCCGGAGGGAGAGCCUCCUCUCUCCUCUGUCAUUGUCUCACACAGCACAGCACAAAUACUGCAGCAUCCACUCCUGGAUAUAUUCACAAACUCCUCAUCAAAGCCAGGAAAAAGUCUCAGUUUCGAUUGGUUUUCGAGUUGGUUUAAAAUGCCACAUUUUACUGUUACUCCCGAACAAACCGGUCGAACAAGACAGCAGCUGUAAUUUAAAACCUGAGAUUAUUCCACAAGACGAAAUUUAAGUGAAGUUUCAACAAGUUUCAAAUUAUUUCGCGAUUAAAGAUGAUAAAAAAAUAAUAAUAAGGGUACGAAUCAUAACUAAUGCUUGACUCAUGAUGAUUUCUGUUUCCUCUGAUAAGUUCACACUUAACAGAUCAUCAGUUAAACAAUGUUAAUUCAUACAUGAAUUGAUAGGCGAGCAAAUUGAUUCCAGUUGUAUAAAAGUGUAUUGCAGGACCAUGCAUUUGCUGCACAGCCUCUCUAAUAAAAAUAAUAAUAACUUCACAUUCCAAUGGUAUUUUUGACACAUUUACAACAUAAUGGAUAAAUUAGAGGAGAAUGUUAAAAUUGGUACCCACAGGGCAGACUGGGUGGAGUUUAAGGACUCUAUGUGAAGACGGUGUGAUGGUAAAAGCAGUGUGCGAACUAGAUCAUGGCUUUUAGGGGAGCUUACUUGUUUUUGUUUGUUUGUUUGGGGUUUUUUUUUGCAAUAGAUGCAAGCACAUUUGAUAUUUAAUAGUGAGUUAAUGACAUAUACAUCAAUAAUAGCCUACUUUUACACAUAAUCCACAGGUACAGGAAAAUAGAAAUGCAUGGCAAAAAUAGCAUUUUAGUAUGUUGUAUUAGUAUUGUCGGAGACCCCCCCAAAAUUUCGCAAAUGGUGUUUUUAGGGGAGCUCAUGUCUUAUUAAGCUCUUAAGCUCUCCCUGCAGUUCGCACCCUGGGUAAAACAUGCAGGAAUCAUCCGGGGGAAGUCUCUCUCUCUCUCUCUCUCUCUCUCUCACACACACACACACACACACACACAGUGAAUACUGAGCUGCAUAGAAAAUGAAACACAGUGUGUGGUGUAUGGAGUUUAGCUGUAAAGUGUGUUUUGUGUUUUGGGAUUUUAUUUCAACUAAUAUUAUUAAUCUUGGAUCCUCAUUUCCACAAAUUUCCAAGAAUAUUCUCACCAAGAUUAGGACAUACAGUAAAUAGAUGUCAAUCUCCCUUAAAUUAUCCCUUAUUUUCCAAGCAUGUUUAACCUCAAUUUACUGGACAAAAAAGACCUGUAUCUGGAAAGAUCCAAUGGUAUCCACGUUUAUGGAAAUCCAGAUCUGUAUAUCAUAUCAAAUGAAUAAAAAACCUGUCAAAGAUCCAUGUCUGUAAUAUUCUGGAUAGGACAGUAUCUGUCCAUAUCCAAACGUAUCACCACCUUGGAUACAACCGUAUUUUUGUACAUUUAUUCCAGUGACUGCUCUUAAUAAAACAAACACACGCGCACACACAAAACCUGUGUCAAAAAUACCUUUGGCUUUAUUCUCACAGAAAUAUGAAGUUAUUGUUUUUUUUAUCAGAGGCUGAGACCAUGUAAAAAACUUUUAUGCAAGAGGAAUCCAUAAAUGUAUUUCAUGUAUGAAUUAACAUCCUUUACCUGAUGAACUAAUCACAAAGUCAUAGUGACUUAAUAAUUUGGAAUCCAUGAUACAUGCAUUACUUAAAGAUAAUGAUUUGUACUGUUAUUGUACUGUACAAUUUAAUUAAUUGUGGCUUUAAGAUGCUGCUAAAAUUUAUAAAACACCUGCCAAUGUGCUGUCAUGCUGUCAUAUAAUGUAGCUAUUGGUCAGUAAGUGCGUUAAAUAGAGAUAAUGCAAAUGGCCACUUUACCCUCAAAACAGUCAGCUGUCACAUAUUUUCUAUCAUUAUAUUCAUUAAAUGAGUUGUGGCCUGGGUCAGGUAAGUGUUUCCUCUUGUGCACAGGUAAGUGUGCAUUUGCCUGUUGUGAAAUCAUCAGCCUAUGACAGAGCGGACUCUGAUUCAUGUGUUUUUUGAAGGAUAAAAUAUGGCAGAUGAAACUGAAGCUGAACCAGAAAAAAAAAAAGAUCCCGCUCAUGUUCCCUGAUUCACAUCUAAUCUGCAUCAGACCUGACAGCAGCACACUGAGCUCAGAUCAGCCAGCACAUCUCCGCCUUUGUCUCGGACACCUUACACUGUGCAGGUCCUGACACACUGAUGGUGAGUUUUAGUGGUAGCCUGACAAAGCUGUCUCUGUGCCAGCAGCAGCGCUCCAAAUGUGGACCUCCAGGGGCCCCGGAAGGCGCCUGGAGGAGGUGUAGGAAACUUUCAGCAUCAUUUUAUCCUUCAAAUAUUACAGUCUGAAAAUGAACCAGAGUUGAUGGUUGUAAAAUUUAACAAUAACUCAAAGAUGAAACUCUUCCUUUACAGUUAGAAUUUGAGCUGUCUGCAGUCUAAUGGGGGAUUUAGUUAAACAAUCUAUGACAUGGCCCUAAAAAUGGCUUUGGGCCUUCAUCCAGCAGCUUUUUAGGACCUUUUUGAAUUAGACUGUCAUUAUUCUAAAUGAUACCAGUGACCCCAGCUUUCUAAAAAAAAAUCUUUAUUAUUUGUUUCACUCAAAAUGAACCAGAGAAAGUGUCAUUGCAGUCACCUCAUGUGUACAGUUCAAUAUUCACCAUGAAACCUUUAACGACUAAAUCUGAAUAAAUGUGUUUGAGAUCCAGGCCGUGCAAACCAAACCGAGACCCACAGGGCAGACAGACGAUUCAAUGGGAAGACGGUGUGAUGGUAAAACAUUCAGGGAUCAUCCAGGGUAGGUCUCACACACGGUGCAUACUGAGCUGCAGAGAAAAAUUAAAAUGUAUGGGAUUUGGCUGUAAAGUGAUGAGUUCUUGUAUUUUGGUCACUUUUCCAGUUUAUUAAUUUUGCUGUUUGUCUAUUGUGGUUUUUAAAAUUUUGUGCAACCGAUGUUACUAAUUUUGGAGUGCUCAUUUCCAAUAAUUUCCAAUAAUUUGAAAGUGUUUUGAAUCACCAUUUUACCUACUCACCAUUAGGUAAUACAGUAAAUAAAUGCCAGUCUCUUUUUAAUGUUGCAUUUUAGAGGCCAUCUCUGAUCCAUCUAAAGAGAAUUUUCUUAUGACUCAAAUUCUAAAUCAAAUUUCAACCAGGUAGCCUAACUUAUUCUGCAUAUGUUUGUGUGUUCUCAUGAACCUCACCACACAACUGUUUAUUGAAACAAAUAGUGAAUGAGUGAAAAUGUGUAGAGAUUUGUAAGCUAUAAUGUUCCCAUGUAGGCCAAUCUACCGUAAUAUCUACAAUAAAAUGCCAAAAUGUAUGCUUAACAUUUACUUUAUUCUGUAAAAAUAUUUACAGAAGGAUAUUUGAUGAUUUUUUAAUUGGAUGAUUUCUGAUAACUGACCUGUGUAGACUUUAAUGGUUAAAGCUACACUGCAAAUAAAUAAUGACAUGUCAGAUUUAGUCAGGAGACAUGUGUGAGACAACAUUUAUGUUUUUAACUUUUUCUCAAACAGUCUUCACAAUGGGUGUCAGCUCAGUAUUGUCAUAACCAAAAGUAGCAAUUUGGAAACGAGGAAGCCAAAGUGCUGCAGGGAUGUUCCUGCUCAUUUGCAUUUGGAUGUGUUUGGCUGGUCUCAGCAGAAAGAGAGUGGCCUCAGAUCUGACUGUGUGGAUAAGAUUAGCAUGCAGCAUCAACUGUUGGCACUCGCAACAACAAAUGAAUGUAAUCCCUCAGGUCCACAAUCUUUCUGCUGGUUGCUUCUGAGAAAUGAUGCUAGCAGGAGGUCCAGAAAGUUCUAUCUAAAGUCACUGCACUGGAAACAAUGGAUGAUAAAGCUUCACUGUGUUAGCCUGAAACUCAACAAUGUUACAAAUAUGAACCUGGUUAGCUUGCUAUACUGAGUUAAUAACAAAUAAUUAUUUAUCAAACACAAUCUUUAUUAGGAUUUAAGUAGCAUUCUCACUGACACUAGCAGGCUAAAUUGUUUAUCUUUUAGCAUAUUGGGCUAAAUGCUAAAGAGAGUGCUGUCAACAUAGUCACCGCUAACUGCUAGCAUCACUGUAGUGUUAGCAUGCUUUAUUCCGCUCAGAUAUGUUUCCAGUUCAAAUGUUGCUCGCUAACCAAGCUAAUGCUAACGUUUUGAAGUGAAGCCAGUGGUGUUACUAUCACAUCCUGUUUCAGUUGGUCUGAAGCGUUCAGUGUCUCCACUGGUGCACGGUGUACACAGGUAUAUGGAGUAUAACCACUUAUAUUUCAGUUUUGCCGAUUGAUUUUUCCCCCUAGGAUGGUAAAGGCAUGGCAAUACAUGAUUGGCUGGAGUAUAGAAUAAGGAAUUAUGUAGCUGUCUCACUUUAUAGUGUGUGUGCCAGUAUUGAUGCUUACUGCCGGAGGUAAAGCAGCAGCAUUUAAGUGACAGUGUGCAAAUACUACUGGCCCAUUUUUGGUGAGCUAAAUAGGCAAGAGUAGGGCAUUUACCCUUUGCUGGAUGGGGCAUUAAUAAACAGUAUACCCAUUUCUUCAGCCACCACUCCACUACUGAGUUUCUCAAGCUGGGACUCAACACCAACAGCUUCCUCCUAGCAGGACGUUGAGGACCUGGAGACUUUAGAGUUUGCUCCAUUUACACCCAGAGUGACUUUAAUCAGUGAGUUGUGCUAACUUUUAACAGGACACACAAUGUUUUGCGCUAGAAUACAGUCCUGCGACGUUUAAAGCUCGCUAUUUUAGAAUUUCUUCUCAAAAUGAAUACACAACUAAGUGCACAAAUCUGUUUCACACUGACAUGAUGUGUCGGUUCUUGUUAAAUACAAACCGUUUUGUUGUUUAUCAUAUAUUUCUUUAAAUGCUUCAAAAGUGGCUCUGAUGAAUUAGAAUUUGUGUGAAUAAUAAAUGUUUGUAAUGAAAUGUUGGAAUCAAAUAAAAAGUUUCAAGUAAAAA